rnacentral:rRNA from 1 species
UACGGGGGGGGGCAAGCGUUGUCCGGAAUCAUUGGGCGUAAAGCGCGUGUAGGCGGUCCGGUAAGUCCGCUGUGAAAGUCGGGGGGCUCAACCCUCGAAUGCCGGUGGAUACUGUCGGGCUAGAGUGCGGAAGAGGCGAGUGGAAUUCCUGGUGUAGCGGUGAAAUGCGCAGAUAUCAGGAGGAACACCAAUUGCGAAGGCAGCUCGCUGGGACGUAACUGACGCUGAGACGCGAAAGCGUGGGGAGCAAACAGG